rnacentral:lncRNA from 1 species
CUCCGUUCGUGCAUUCGUUCGUCCGUCCGUUCGUCUGUGCGUCCGUUCAGGUUAAAGUUUUUGGUCAAGGUAGUUUUUGAUGAAGCUGAAGUCCAAUCAACUUGAAACUUAAUACACUUGUUGCUUAUGAUAUGAUCUUUCUAAUUUUAAAGCCAAAUUAGACUUUUGACCCCAAUUUCACGGUCCACUGAACAUAGAAAAUGAAAGGGGGAGUUUCAGGUUAAAGUUUUUGGUCAAGGUAGAUUUUAAUGAAGCUGAAGUCCAAUCAACCUGAAUCUUAGUACACUUGUUGCUUAUGAUAUGAUCUUUCUAAUUUUAAAGCCAAAUUAGACUUUUGACGCCAAUUUCACGGUCCACUGAACACAGAAAAUGAAAGGGGGAGUUUCAGGUUAAAGUUUUUGGUCAAGGUAGUUUUUGAUGAAGCUGAAGU